rnacentral:tRNA from 1 species
GGGGGAUUAGCUCAAUUGGAUAGAGUACCGGCCUUCGAAUCCGUUGGUUAUGAGUUCGAGUCUCAUAUCCCCUACCA